CGCACACCCAGUUUCCCGAGGGAGCCCCUCCCUUCGCGUCCCCUCAGUUGCCCGCCCAGGUGAGGCCCCGCCCCUUUCCCCGACGCGCCGCGGGAGCCCGGUGACCGCGGUCCUGCUGGGCCUACCAGCUGAUGAAGACAAGCCGUAGCAGGUACCAGCUGACUAAGAACAACUUACAGAAGAAACAUUUAACCUGAAAAGUCUUAUCCAUUACCCUGUCACGUGGCUUUCGGCAUCUUAAUUCCCCGACCGGGGACUGAACCCGCACCCUCCGCAGUGAAAGCGGGGAGCUCUAAUCACUGGACCGCCAGGGAAUUUCCCAUCUCAAUUUUAAAAAGUAUUCAAUAAAACAGUAGAAGACAAAAAAAGCUAUGUGCCUUUUGCUGUAUGUAAACUACA